rnacentral:rRNA from 1 species
AUAGUACUGUGAAGGAAAGGUGAAAAGCACCCCGGGAGGGGAGUGAAAAAGAACCUGAAACCCUGUGCCUACAAGCACCUAGAGCGCGUCAAAGCGUGAUAGGGUACUUUUUGUAGAACGGUCCGGCGAGCGAUUGUAUGCAGCAAGGUUAAGGACUUAAGGUCUGGAGCCGAAGCGAAAGCGAGUUUGAAAAGGGCGUUAAGUUGCAUAUAAUGGGCCCGAAACCGGGUGACCUACCCAUGGUCAGGUUGAAGUGGAAGUAAAAUUCCAUGGAGGACCGAACCGACCUCCGUUGAAAAGGCGGCGGAUGAACUGUGGGUAGCGGAGAAAUUCCAAUCGAACCCGGAGAUAGCUGGUUCUCCCCGAAAUAGUUUUAGGACUAGCCUCAAGUUAGAUACCUGGAGGUAAAGCACUGAAUAGCCUAGCGGCCGAGAGGUUAGCGAAGCUUAUCAAACUCAGAAUGCCAGAGUAUUGAUGCUUGGGAGUCAGACAGUGUCAGAUAAAUGUCAUUGUCAAAAGGGAAACAGCCCAGAUCUACAGCUAAGGUCCCAAAGUCAGGUUAAGUGGAAAACGAUGUGAAGAUACGUAGACAACCAGGAUGUUGGCUCAGAAGCAGCCACUCAUUCAAAGAGUGCGUAAUAGCUCACUGGUCGAGCGUCUUUGCGCGGAGAAUUUAACGGGGCUAAACCUGACACCGAAGCUUAGGCAAUACAGUAAUGUAUUGGGUAGGGGAGCGUUGUAUACGCGGUGAAACAGUAGCGCAAGCGGCUGUGGAGUGUAUAGAAGUGAGAAUGCCGGAAUGAGUAGCGCGAAUGCAGUGAGAAUCUGCAUGGCCGAAAGCCUCAGGUUUCUGGAGGAAGGUUCGUCCGCUCCAGGUCAGUCGGGAGCUAAGGUGAGGCCUAACGGCGUAGCCGAUGCACAGACGGUAGAGAUUCCGUCACCACCAAAAGAGUUAAACACAGGGACACAUAUGAAGUCUCGGAGCCGGGUGUUGGUUCCGGUAGCGAUCGAGGGAAGUUAGUACCGAAGUCCGGGAUGGAAGAUGGCGAGAAAAGCUGUGUGUAUUUCUGCGGUGCCCGUACCGCAAACCGACACAGGUAGGUAGGAAGAAGAUUCUAAGGCCAACGGGAGAAGGGUUGUUAAGGAACUCGGCAAAUUGACCCCGUAACUUCGGGAGAAGGGGUGCUGCAGCAAUGCAGCCGCAGAGAAUCGGCCCAAGCAACUGUUUACCAAAAACACAGGUUUGUGCUAAAUCGAAAGAUGACGUAUACGAGCUGACGCCUGCCCGGUGCUGGAAGGUUAAAAGGAGAUGUGCAAGCAUUGAAUUGAAGCCCCAGUGAACGGCGGCCGUAACUAUAACGGUCCUAAGGUAGCGAAAUUCCUUGUCAGGUAAGUUCUGACCCGCAUGAAAGGCGUAAUGAUUUGGGCACUGUCUCAACAGCCCGCCCGGCGAAAUUGUAGUACCGGUGAAGAUGCCGGUUACCCGCGACAAGACGGAAAGACCCCAUGGAGCUUUACUGUAGCCUAAUAUUGGGUUUCGAUGUUGCAUGCACAGGAUAGAUGGGACACUGGGAAGCAGGUGCUUUGGCGCUUGUGGAGUGGCCGUUGGGAUACCAUCCUUGCGAUAUUGGAAUUCUAACCUGCGCCUUUGAAUCAAGGCGGGGGACAUUGUUAGGUGGGCAGUUUGACUGGGGCGGUCGCCUCCUAAAGAGUA